rnacentral:rRNA from 1 species
AACGAACGCUGGCGGCAUGCCUAACACAUGCAAGUCGAACGAGACCUUCGGGUCUAGUGGCGCACGGGUGCGUAACGCGUGGGAACCUGCCCUUAGGUUCGGAAUAACUCCCCGAAAGGGGUGCUAAUACCGGAUAAUGUCUUCGGACCAAAGAUUUAUCGCCUUUGGAUGGGCCCGCGUUGGAUUAGCUAGUUGGUAGGGUAAAAGCCUACCAAGGCGACGAUCCAUAGCUGGUCUGAGAGGAUGAUCAGCCACACUGGGACUGAGACACGGCCCAGACCCCUGGGGGAGGGAGAGGGGGGAAAUAUUGAACAGGGGGGGAAAGCUGGAUCCCGAAGUGCCGGGUGGUUGAUGAGGCCCUAGGGGUUAUAAAUCUUUUUUCCCCGGGAUGAAAAGGAGAGUCCGGGAAGAAUAAGCUCCGGCAAACUCGGGG